GACGAACGCUGGCGGCGUGCCUAAUACAUGCAAGUCGAACGAGUGGCGGAGGGGGGAGUAAGGUCUGGGAAACUGCCUGAUGGAGGGGGAUAACUAGGGGAAACGGUAGCUAAUACGGCAUACCAGCAGAUGUGGCCAGAUGGGGUUAGCUAGUGGGUGGGGUAACGGCUCACCUAGGCGACGAUCCCUAGCUGGUCUGAGAGGAUGACCAGCCACACUGGGACUGAGACACGGUCCAGACUCCUACGGGAGGCAGCAGUGGGGAAUCUUGCACAAUGGGCGCAAGCCUGAUGCAGCCAUGCCGCGUGUAUGAAGAAGGCCUUCGGGUUGUAAAGUACUUUCAGCGGAGAGGCGUUACCCGCCGAAGAAGCCCCGGCUAACUCCGUGCCAGCAGCCGCGGUAAUAC
rnacentral:rRNA from 1 species